rnacentral:SRP_RNA from 1 species
GCCAGGUGUGGUGGCAAGCACCUGUAGUCUCAACUACUUGGGAGGCUGAGGCAGGAUGAUUGCUUGAAUCCCAUAGUUCUGAGCUGUACUGUGCUAUGCUUAUCAGGCAUCCACACUAAGUUCGGCAUCAAUAUAGUGACCUCCUGGGAACAGGGAACCACCAGGUUACAUAAGGAGGGCUGAAGUGGCCCACAUCAGAAAUGGAGAAAGUGAAACUCCCAUGCUGACCAGUAGUGGGAUCGUGCCUGUGAAUAGCCAUUGCACUCCAGCGUGGGCAGCAUAUGAGACCUCAUCUCU